rnacentral:rRNA from 1 species
AGUGAACGCUGGCGGUAGGCCUAACACAUGCAAGUCGAACGGCAGCACAGUAAGAGCUUGCUCUUACGGGUGGCGAGUGGCGGACGGGUGAGGAAUACAUCGGAAUCUACUUUUUCGUGGGGGAUAACGUAGGGAAACUUACGCUAAUACCGCAUACGACCUACGGGUGAAAGCAGGGGAUCUUCGGACCUUGCGCGAUUGAAUGAGCCGAUGUCGGAUUAGCUAGUUGGCGGGGUAAAGGCCCACCAAGGCGACGAUCCGUAGCUGGUCUGAGAGGAUGAUCGGCCACACUGGAACUGAGACACGGUCCAGACUCCUACGGGAGGCAGCAGUGGGGUAUAUUGGACAAUGGGCGCAAGCCUGAUCCAGCCAUACCGCGUGGGUGAAGAAGGCCUUCGGGUUGUAAAGCCCUUUUGUUGGGAAAGAAAAGCAGCAGGUUAAUACCCCGCUGUUCUGACGGUACCCAAAGAAUAAGCACCGGCUAACUUCGUG